AUGGAGGAUAAUUAGUGGCAGACGGGUGAGUAAUGCAUAGGAAUCUACCUAGUAGUAUGGGAUAGCCACUAGAAAUGGUGGGUAAUACUGUAUAAUCCCUGCGGGGGAAAGAUUUAUCGCUAUUAGAUGAGCCUAUGUUAGAUUAGCUAGUUGGUAGGGUAAUGGCCUACCAAGGCGAUGAUCUAUAGCUGGUCUGAGAGGAUGAUCAGCCACACUGGAACUGAGAUACGGUCCAGACUCCUACGGGAGGCAGCAGUGGGGAAUAUUGGACAAUGGGCGCAAGCCUGAUCCAGCUAUGCCGCGUGAGUGAGGAAGGCCUUAGGGUUGUAAAACUCUUUCAGUAGGGAAGAUAAUGACGGUACCUACAGAAGAAGUCCCGGCAAACUCCGUGCCAGCAGCCGCGGUAAUACGGAGGGGGCAAGCGUUGUUCGGAAUUAUUGGGCGUAAAGGGCAUGUAGGCGGUUCGGUAAGUUAAAGGUGAAAUGCCAGGGCUUAAC
rnacentral:rRNA from 1 species